UUUUUUUUUGUCUGGAGUCUCAUCCAGACUUAUGGGGGAAUCAUAGUCUCCAUCAUCCUUUCCUCACUGGGACAAUGCUCUAAUAAUGAUGAUCAUCACACUCGAUACUUAGAACAAAAUAUGACUCUAUAUGAAUGCCUCCGGCGGUGUACCGGGAUAUGCAAUGAAUCAAGAGCGACAUGUAUGAAAAUUAUGAAGGUGGCCUUGCCACAAAUACAAUGUCAACUACAAGUUCAUGCAAAAAGCAAUAUGACAAAAGUAAUGUAUGUCAUAUGAACGGAACGGUGGAAAGUUGCAUGGCAAUAUAUCUCGGAAUGGCUAUGGAAAUGCCAUGAUAGGUAGGUAUGGUGGCUGUUUUGAGGAAGGUAUAUGGUGGGUGUAUGGUACCGGCGAAAGUUGCGCGGCACAAGAGAGGCUAGCAAUAAUGGAAGGGUGAAAGGGUGCGUAUAAUCCAUGGACUCAACAUUAAUCAAAAGAACUCAUGCACUUGUUGCAAAAAUUUAGAAGUCAUCAAAAAUCAAGUACUACGCGCAUGCUCCUAGGGGGAUAGAUUGGUAGGAAAAGACCAUCGCUCGUCCCCGACCGCCACUCAUAAGGGUGCACAAGCCAGGUACACUUCAUGUUUCAAAUUUGUUACACACCUUUAACCAUACGUGCAUGCUACAGGACUUGCAAACUUCAACACAAGCAUUUCUCAAAUUCAUAAUCACCCAACUAGCACGACUUUGAUAUUAUCACCUCCAUAUCUCAAAACAAUUAUCAAGCAUCAAACUUAUCUUAGUAUUCAAUUCACUCAAAAGAAAGUUUCACAUAUCUUGAAUACCAAGUAUAUUAACAUUAAGCAAAUUACCAUGCUAUUUAAUACUCUCAAAAUAGUCUAAGUGAAGCAUGAGAGUUCAAUAGUUUCUUUAAAACAAAUCCACCACCGUGCUCUAAAAGAUAUAAGUGAAGUACUAGAGCAAUAACUAAAACUACUCCGAAAGAUAUAAGUGAAGAUCAAUGAGUAGUCGAAUAAUUAUGAAACUAUGUGAAGACUCUCCCAUUUAAUAAUUUCAGAUCUUGAUACUUUAUUCAAACAGCAAGCAAAGCUAAAGAAAACUACAUUGCAAGGAUAGCACAACUCAUGUGAAGAAGCAAAAACUUAGGCUCAACCGAUACUAACCGAUAGUUGUUGAAGAAGAAAGGUGGGAUGCCUACCAGGGCAUCCCCAAGAUUAGAUGCUUGAGACUUCUUGAAAUAUUAUUUUGGGGUGCCUUGAGCAUCCCCAAGCUUGAGCUUUUGUGUCUCCUUAAUUCCUCUCAUAUCAUGGUUUCUCUUUUUAUCAAAAGCUUCAUUCACAACAAACUCAAAAAGAUCUCGUGAGAUAGGUUAGUAUAAGCCAAUGCAAAACCUUAUCAUUUUCUACUGUAACAAAUCACUAAAAUUAUUAUUCAACAUUGCAUACUAAAUGCCUCUGUAUAUUUAAUACUCCUAUCCUCAAAUAGAAUCAUUAAACAAGCAAACAUAUGCAAACAAUGCAACCAUAACAGCAAUCUGCCAAAACAGUACAGUCUGUAAAGAAUGCAAGAGUAACAAUACUUCCCUGAAUCCAAAAAUUAUGAACUAAAAUUAACACUGUAAUAAAUUUAUCAGAGCUAAAUAUUCAAAAAGAUUAAACAUUAUACCAUUCUCUGACUUUUCUAGGGAAUUUUUGCAACAGCGGUAAACUUUCUGUUUUCAAAUAGCAACAUGUAUACUAGCAAAACAAGCAUGGCAAAGGCUAUCCUUGACUUUUUUUAUUAAAACUAAAGAUGAAAAACAUUAUUCUAACUAACAGAAAGCAAACACUAAGAAAAUAAAAUGACGCUCCAAGCAAAACACAUAUCAUGUGGUGAAUAAAAAUAUAGCUCCAAGUAAAGCUACCGAUGAACGAAGACAAAAGAGGGGAUGCCUUCUGGGGCAUCCCCAAGCUUAGGCUCUUGGUUGUCCUUGAAUAUUACCUUGGGGUGCCUUGGGAAUCCCCAAUCUUAGGCUCUUUCCACUCCUUAUUCCAUAAUUCAUCAAAUCUUUACCCAAAACUUGAAAACUUCAACCACACAAAACUCAAAACAAAACUCGUAAGCUCAGUUAGUAUAAGAAAAUAAAUCACCACUUAGGUACUGUAAUGAACUCAUUCUAAAUUCAUAUUUGUGUAAUAUAUAUUGUAUUCUAACUUCUCUAUGGUUCAUACCACUUAAUACUAGCCAUAGAUGCAUCAAAAUAAGCAAACAACACAAUGAAAACAGAAUUUGUCAAAAACAGAACAGUCUGUAGUAAUCUGUAUCAAACGUAUACCUCUGGAACCCCAAAAAUUAUGAAAUAAAUUGAUGGACCUGAGUAAUUUGUAUAUUAAUCACCUGCAAAAAGAAUCAACCUAAAAUCACUCUCCAGUAAAAAUGGCAGCCAUUCUCGUGAGCGCAAAAGUUUCUGUUUUUUACAGCAAGAUCAUAUAAACUUCACCCAAGUCUUCCCAAAGGUUCUACUUGGCACUUUAUUGAAAUAAAAGCUAUAAAACAUGAUUACUACAGUAGCAUAAUCAUGUGUACACACAAAAACAGUAAGGGUAAAUAUUGGGUUGUCUCCCAACAAGCGCUUUCCUUUAAUGCCUCUCUAGCUAGGCAUGAUGAUGACAAUGAUGCUCACAUAAAAGAUAAGGAUUGAAACAUAACGGGAGCAUCAUGAAGCAUAUGACUAGCACAUUUAAGCCUAACCCUCUUCCUAUGCAUAGGGGUUUUGUGAGCAAACAACUUAUGGGAACAAUAAUCAACUAGCAUAGGAAGGUAAAACAAGCAUAACUUCAAGAUUUUAAGCACAUAGAGAGGAAACUUGACAUUAUUGCAAUUCCUACAAGCAUAUGUUCCUCCCUCAUAAUAAUUUUCAGUAGCAUCAUGAAUGAAUUCAACAAUAUAAACAGCACCUAAAGCAUUCUUUUCAUGAUCUACAAGCAUAGAAAAUUUACUAUUCUCAAUAUAAGCAAAUUUCUUCUCAUGAAUAGUAGUGGGAGCAAACUCAACAAAAUAACUAUCAUGUGAUUGAAAAUUAAGAUCAAGAUGACACGUUUCAUGAUUAUCAUUAUUCUUUAAAGCAUACAUGUCAUCACAAUAAUCAUCAUAGAUAGGAGGCAUGCUUUCAUCAUAGUAAAUAUGCUCAUCAAAGCUUGGGGGACAAAAAAUAUCAUCUCCAUCAAACAUAGCUUCCCCAAGCUUGUGGCUUUGCAUAUCAUUAGCAUCAUGGAUAUUCAAAGAAUUCGUACUAACAACAUUACAAUCAUACUCAUCAAAUAAAAACAUUCUAUAGAUUUCUUCUUCUAGCACUUGAGCACAAUUUUUUUUUCCAUCAUUCUCACGAAAGAUAUUAAAAAGAUGAAGCGUGUGAGACAAACUCAAUUCCAUUUUUUUGGUAGUUUUCUUUUGUAAACUAAACUAGUGCUAAAACAAGAAACAAAAAGAUUCGAUUUCAAGAUCUAAAGAUAUACCUUCAAGCGCUAACCUCCCCGGCAACGGCGCCAGAAAAGAGCUUGAUGUCUACUACACAACCUUCUUCUUGUAGAUGUUGUUGGGCCUACAAGUGCACAGGUUUGUAGGACAGUAGAAAAUUUCCCUCAAGUGGAUGACCUAAGGUUUAUCAAUCCAUAGGAGGCGUAGGAUGAAGAUGGUCUCUCUCAAACAACCCUGCAACCAAAUAACAAAGAGUCUCUUGUGUCCCCAACACACCCAAUACAAUGGCAAAUUGUAUGGGUGCACUAGUUCGGCGAAGAGAUGGUGAUACAAGUGCAAAAUAGAUAGUAGAUCUAGGUAUUUGUAAUCUGAAAUAAUAAAAACAGCAAGGUAACAAGCAAUAAAAGUGAGCGUAAACGGUAUUGCAAUGAUAGGAAACAAGGCCUAGGGUUCAUACUUUCACUAGUGCAAGUUCUCUCAACAAUAAUAACAUAGAUAGAUCAUAUAACAAGCCCUCAACAUGCAACAAAGAGUCACUCGAAAGCCACUAAUAGAGGAGAACAAACGUAGAGAUUAUGGUAGGGUAUGAAACCACCUCAAAGUUAUCCUUUCUGUUCUAUCUAUUCAAGAGUUCGUAGUAAAAUAACAUAAACCUAUUCUUUUUGCUCAAUCCAUCAUAGAGUUCAUACUAGAAUAACACCUUAAGACACAAAUCAACCAAAACCCUAAUGUCACCUAGAUACUCCAUUGUCACCUCAAGUAUCCAUGGGCAUGAUUAUACGAUAUGCAUCACACAAUCUCAGAUUCAUCCAACCAACACAAAGUACUUCAAAGAGUGCCCCAAAGUUUCUACCGGAGAGUCAAGAACGUGUGCCAACCCCUAUGCAUAGGUUCCCAAUGUCACGAAACCCGCAAGUUGAUCACCAAAACAUACAUCAAGUGGAUCGCAAGACAUACAUCAAGUGUUCUCAUAAAAGACUCAAUCCGAUAAGAUAACUUCAAAGGGGAAACUCAAUUCAUCACAAGAGAGUAGAGGGGGAGAAACAUCAUAAGAUCCAACUACAAUAGCAAAGCUCGGGAUACAUCAAGAUCGUGCCAUAGAGGGAACACGACAGAGAACAUGAGAGAGAGAGAGAUCAAACACAUAGCUACUGGUACAUACCCUCAGCCCCGAGGGUGAACUGCUCCCUCUUCGUCAUGGAUAGCGCCGGGAUGAUGAAGAUGGCCACCGGUGAUGGGAUCCCCCUCCGGCAGGGUGCCGGAACAGGGUCCCGAUUGGUUUUUGGUGGCUACAGAGGCUUGCGGCGGAAGAACUCCCGAUCUAUCUUCUGUUCUAGAAGUUUUAGGGUACGUAGGUAUAUAUGGGUGCAAGGGGUACGUCGCUGGAGCUACGGGGGGCCCACGAGGCAGGGGGCACGCCCAGGGCCCCCCCACCCUCGUGGGCAGCCCGGGACUCCCCUGACAUGCACUCCAAGUCCAUCAGGUGGGUUUCCUUCCAAAAUGAACUUCUCCAGUUGAUUUCAUUCCGUUUUGACUCCGUCUGAUAUUCCUUUUCCUCGAAACACCGAAAUAGGCAUAAAACAGCAAAUCUGGGCUGGGCCUCCGGUUAAUAGGUUAGUCCCAAAAAUAAUAUAAAAGUGGAUAAUAAAGCCCAAUAUUGCCUAAAACAGUAGAUAAAGUAGCAUGGAGCAAUCAAAAAUUAUAGAUACGUUGGAGACGUAUCAUUCACCUUGCCAUCCUUCUUAUCCGCCAAAUACUUGGGGCAGUUCCGAUUCCAGUGACCAGUCUGCUUGCAGUAGAAGCACUCAGUCUCAGGCUUAGGUCCAGACUUGGGUUUCUUCUCUUGAGCAGCAACUUGUUUGUUGUUCUUCCUGAAGUUUCCCUUCUUCUUCCCUUUACCCUUUUUCUUGAAACUCGUGGUUUUGUUAACCAUCAACACUUGAUGCUCCUUUUUGAUUUCUACAUCCGCAGCCUUUAGCAUUGCGAAGAGCUCGAGAAUUGUCUUGUUCAUCCCUUGCAUAUUAUAGUUCAUCAAGAAGCUCUUGUAGCUUGGUGGCAGUGAUUGAAGAAUUCUGUCAAUGACACUAUCAUCAGGAAGAUUAACUCCCAGUUGAAUCAAGUGAUUAUUAUACCUAGACAUUUUGAGUAUAUGUUCACUGACAGAACUAUUCUCCUCCAUCUUGCAGCUAUAGAACUUAUUGGAGACUUCAUAUCUCUCAAUCCGAGCAAUUGCUUGAAAUAUUAACUUCAACUCCUGGAACAUCUCAUAUGCUCCAUGACGUUCAAAACGUUGUUGAAGUCCCGGUUCUAAGCCGUAAAGCUUGGCACAUUGAACUAUCGAGUAGUCAUCAGUUUUGCUCUGCCAAACGUUCACAACGUCUGCAGUUGCAUCUGCAGCAGGCCUAGCACCCAGCGGUGCUUCCAGGACGUAAUUCUUCUGUGCAGCAAUGAGGAUAAUCCUCAUGUUACGGACCCAGUCCAUGUAAUUGCUACCAUCAUCUUUCAACUUUGCUUUCUCAAGGAACGCAUUAAAAUUCAACGGAACAACAGCAGGGGCCAUCUAUCUACAAUAACAUAGACAAGCAAAAUACUAUCAGGUACUAAGUUCAUGAUAAAUUUAAGUUCAAUUAAUCACAUUACUUAAGAACUCCCACUUAGAUAGACAUCUCUCUAAUCAUCUAAGUGAUCACGUGAUCCAAAUCAACUAAACCAUAACCGAUCAUCACGUGAAAUGAGUAGUUUUCAAUGGUGACCAUCAUUAUGUUGAUCAUAUCUACUAUAUGAUUCAUGCUCGACCUUUCGGUCUCAGUGUUCCGAGGCCAUAUCUGCAUACGCUAGGCUCGUCAAGUUUAACCUGAGUAUUCUGCGUGUGCAAAACUGGCUUGCACCCGUUGUAGAUGAACGUAGAGCUUAUCACACCCGAUCAUCACAUGGUGUCUCGGCACGACGAACUUUGGCAACUGUGCAUACUCAGUGAGAUCACUUUUAUCUUGAAAUUUAGUGAGAGAUCAUCUUAUAAUGCUACCGUCAAUCAAAGCAAAAUAAGAUGUAUAAAGGAUAAACAUCACAUGCAAUCAAUAUAAGUGAUGUGAUAUGACCAUCAUCAUCUUGUGCUUGUGAUCUCCAUCUUCGAAGCACCGUCAUGAUCACCAUCGUCACCGGUGCGACACCUUGAUCUCCAUCGUAGCAUCGUUGUCGUCUCGCCAACUAUUGCUUCUACGACUAUCGCUACCACUUAGUGAUAAAGUAAAGCAAUUACAGGCAUUGCAUACAAUAAAGUGACAACCAUAUGGCUCCUGCCAGUUGCCGAUAACUUGGUUACAAAACAUGAUCAUCUCAUACAAUAAAAUAUAGCAUCACGUCUUGACCAUAUCACAUCACAACAUGCCCUGCAAAAACAAGUUAGACAUCCUCUACUUUGUUGUUGCAAGUUUUACGUGGCUGCUACGGGCUGGGCAAGAACCGUUCUUACCUACGCAUCAAAAACCACAAUGAUAUUUCGUCAAGUUAGUGUUGUUUUAACCUUCACAAGGACCGGGCGUAGCCACACUCCAUUCAACUAAAGUUGGAGAAACAGACACCCACCAGCUACCUAUGUGCAAAGCACGUCGGUAGAACCAGUCUCGCGUAAGCGUACGUGUAAUGUCGGUCCGGGCCGCUUCAUGCAACAAUACCGCUGAACCAAAGUAUGACAUGCUGGUAAGAAGUAUGACUUGUAUCGCCCACAACUCACUUGUGUUCUACUCAUGCAUAUAACAUCUACGCAUAAACCUGGCUCGGAUGCCACUGUUGGGGAACGUAGUAAUUUCAAAAAAAAUCCUACUCACACGUAAGAUCAUGGUGAUGCAUAGCAAUGAGAGGGGAGAGUGUUGUCCAUGUACCCUCAUAGACCGAAAGCGGAAGCGUUAGCACAACGCGGUUGAUGUAGUCGUACGUCUUCACGAUCAGACCGAUCCAAGUACCGAACGUACGGCACCUCCGAGUUCAGCACACGUUCAGCUCGAUGACGUCCCUCGAACUCCGAUCUAGCUGAGCUUUGAGGGAGAGUUUCGUCAGCACGAUGGUGUGGUGACGGUGAUGAUGUUGCUACUGACGCAGGGCUUCGCCUAAGCACCACUACGAUAUGAUCGAGGUGGAAUAUGGUGGAGGGGGGCACCGCACACGGCUAAGAGAUCAAGAGAUCAAUUGUUGUGUCUAGAGGUGCCCCCUACCCCCGUAUAUAAAGGAGGGAGAGGAGGAGGGGCGGCCAAGGAGGAGGAGGCGCGCCCAAGGGGGGCAAUCCUACUCCAAGUAGGUUUCCCCCCUCUUUCCUAGUCCAAGUAGGAGAGGGGAAGGAAGGGGAGGAGAAGAAGAAGGAAAGGGGGGGCCGGCCCCCUAGUACAAUUCGGUUUGGGCUAGGGGAGCCACGUGCCCCUAGCUGGCCGCCUCUCCUCUUCCUCCACAUGGGCCCAUGAGGCCCAAUAACCCCCCGGGAGGUUCCGGUAACCUCCCGGUUCUUCGGUAUUUAUCCGACAACGCCCGGAACUCAUCCGAUGUCCGAAUAUAAUCUUCCAAUAUAUCAAUCUUAACGUCUUGACCAUUUCGAGACUCCUCGUCAUGUCCGUGAUCACAUACGGGACUCCGAACUACCUUCGGUACAUCAAAACACAAAAACUCAUAAUACCGAUCGUCACCGAACUUUAAGCGUGCGGACCCUACAGGUUCGAGAACUAUGUAGACAUGACCAAGACACUUUUCCGGUAAAUAACCAAUAGAGGAAUCUGGAUGCUCAUAUUGGCUCCCACAUAUUCUACAAAGAUCUUUAUCGGUCAAACUGCAUAACUACAUAUGUUGUUCCCUUUGUCAUCGGUAUGCUACUUGCCUGAGAUUCGAUCGUCGGUAUCUCAAUACCUAGUUCAAUCUCGUUAAUGGCAAGUCUCUUUACUCGUUAUGUAAUGCAUCAUCCCUCAACUAACUCAUUAGUCACAUUGCUUGCAAGGCUUAUUGUGAUGUGCAUUACCGAGAGGGCCAGAGAUACCUCUCCGACAAUCGGAGUGACAAAUCCUAAUCUCGAAAUACGCCAACUCAACAUGUACCGCUCAAAAUGUCAUUCAUCUCUAUUUCAAAAUCGAGCUCUGGCACCUCUACAAAUCCCUUCUUCCCUCUGCGAAGGGCCUAUCUAUUUACUUUUAUGUUGAGUCAUCACCCUCUUAUUAAAAAGCACCCACUGGAGAGCACACUGUCAUUUGCAUGCAUUACUAUUAGUUUAUAUCGGGUCUGACUUUACUAGAUCUCUUUUACCAUGAAUUACAAUGUUUAGUCAGUCCUUGAUCUUUAAAGGUGCUCUCCAUUUAUGUUUUGCGGCCUUAGAAAGGGCUAGCCAGAUACCAUCUUGUUAUAUCGUAUUAUGAUUGUUUUGAGAAAGUGUUGUCAUCCGAGUUUUAUUAUUAUUGCUCGCUAGCUGAUUACGCCAUUCAUAUAAGUAAACAUGAGACCUAUGUGUUAUUGUGAAUGUGGUUAGUUAUAAUCCUUGCUGAAAACUUGAAUGCUGGCUUUACAUAUUUACAACAACAAGAGCAAAUAGAGUUUGUAAAAUUUUUCUUUAUCACUUUCAGUUUGUCAACUGAAUUGCUUGAGUACAAGCAAAGGUUUAAGCUUGGGGGAGAUGAUACGUCUCCAACGUAUCUACUUUUCCAAACACUUUUGCCCUUGUUUUGGACCCUAAUUUGCAUGAUUUGAAUGGAACUAACCCGGACUGACGCUGUUUUCAGCAGAACUGCCGUGGUGUUUUUUUUGUGCAGAAACAAAAUUUCUCGGAAUGACCUGCAAAUCCACGGAGAUAACUUUUGGAAAAUAUAAAAAAUGUUGGCGAAAGAAUUAAUGCCAGGGGGCCCACACCCUGUCCACAGGGGUGGGGGGCGCGCCCCCUCCCCCUGGGCGCGCCCCCCUGUCUCGUGGGCCCCCUGAUGCUCCACUGACCUCAACUCCAACUCCAUAUAUUCCGUUUCACGGAGAAAAAAAUUAGAGAGGAAGUUUCAUCGCGUUUUAUGAUACGGAGCCGCCGCCAAGCCCUAAAACCUCUCGGGAGGGCUGAUCUCGAGUCUGUUCGGGGCUUCGAAUAGGGGGAUUCGUCGCUGUCGUCAUCAUCAACCAUCCUCCAUCACCAAUUUCAUGAUGCUCACCGCCGUGCGUGAGUAAUUCCAUCAUAGGCUUGCUGGACGGUGAUGGGUUGGAUGAGAUUUACCAUGUAAUCAAGUUAGUUUUGUUAGGGUUUGAUCCCUAGUAUCCACUAUGGUCUGAGAUUGAUGUUGCUAUGACUUUGCUAUGCUUAAUGCUUGUCACUAGGGCCCGAGGGGCAUGAUUUCAGAUCUGAACCUAUUAUGUUUUCAUGAAUAUAUGUGAGUUCUUGAUCCUAUCUUGCAAGUCUAUAGUCACCUAUUAUGUGUUAUGAUCCGACAACCCCGAAGUGACAAUAAUCGGGAUACUUCUCGGUGAUGACCGUAGUUUGAGGAGUUCACGUAUUCACUAUGUGUUAAUGCUUUGGUCCAGUAAUCUAUUAAAAGGAGGCCUUAAUAUCCCUUAGUUUCCAAUAGGACCCCGCUGCCACAGGAGAGUAGGACAAAAGAUGUCAUGGAAGUUCUUUUCCAUAAGCACAUAUGACUAUAUUCGGAAUACAUGCCUACAUUAUAUUGAUGAACUGGAGCUAAUUCUUUGUCACCCUAUAAUAUAACUAUUACAUGAUGAAUUGCAUCCGACAUAAUUAUCCAUCACUAAUCCAUUGCCUACGAGCUUUUCACAUAUUGUGCUUCGCUUAUUUACUUUUCCGUUGCUACUGUUACAAUUACCACAAAACUGCUAUCGUUACUUUUGCCACUGUUACCAUUACUAUCAUACUACUUUGCUACUAAAUACUUUGCUGCAGAUACUAAGUUAUCCAGGUGUGGUUGAAUUGACAACUCAACUGCUAAUACUUGAGAAUAUUCUUUGGCUCCCCUUGUGUUGAAUCAAUAAAUUUGGGUUAAAUACUCUACCCUCGAAAACUGUUGUGAUCCCCUAUACUUGUGGGUUAUCAAGACUAUUUUCUGGUGCCGUUGCCGGGGAGCAUAGCUCUAUUCUUUGAGUCACUUGGGAUUUAUAUCUACUGAUCACUAUGAAGAAGUUGAAAGAUCAAAGAACUAAAAUCUAUCCCUCAACUACGAGGGGAGGUAAGGAACUGCCAUCUAGCUCUACACUUGAUUCUCCUUCUGUUAUGAGUAAGCUUGCGACACCUAAACCUGCUACUGCUAUUAAUUCUAAUAUGUCGCAUGUUAUUGAUGAUGCCACUUCUACUAAGCAUGAUACUUAUGAUGAAACUACUUCUAUGCUUGAUAAAACUGUGCCAUUAGGUGAAUUUCUUGAUGAACAACUUACUAGAGCUAGGGAGAAUGAAAUUAUUGAAACUGAUUAUAUUGAAGAUAGUGAUGAUGAAGGUUCUCCCCCUAAAUAUGAAUUGCCUGUUGUUCCUGAGGGUUAUGUUAUGGAUGAAGAAACUGCUAGAGAUUUUCUUCCUUGCAAUGACAGAUCAGAUCUUAAGAAAUUAUUAGCUAAGCUGAAACAGAAAACUUUGAAUGCUAAAAUGAAAUAUGACUCUGCUUUUGCUACUUCACGUAUUUUUGUUACUGAUAAGGAUUAUGAAUUCUCUGUUGAUCCUGAGAUUAUUACUUUAGUUGAAUCUGAUCCUUUCUAUGGCACUGAAUCUGAAACUGUUGUGGCACAUCUUACCAAGUUGAAUGACAUAUCCACCCUGUUUACUAAUGAUGAGAAAUCCCGCUAUUAUUAUAUCCUUAAGAUUUUCUGUUCUCAUUAAAGGAUGAUGCUAAAACUUGGUUUAAUUCUCUUGAUUCUGGUUGUGUGCGUAGUCCCCAGGAUAUGAUCUAUUACUUCUCUGCUAAAUAUUUCCCUGCUCAUAAGAAACAAGCUGCCUUGCGGGAAAUAUAUAAUUUUGUGCAAAUUGAAGAAGAGAGUCUCCCACAAGCUUGGGGGAGGCUUCUCCGAUUACUUAAUGCUUUGCCUGGUCAUCCUCUUAAGAAAAAUGAAAUAGUUGAUAUCUUUUAUAAUGGACUAACCAAUGCUUCCAAGGACCACUUGGAUAAUUGUGCUCGUUGUGUUUUCACGGAAAGAACAGUCGACCAAGCUGAAUUGUUAUUGAAUAAUAUGUUGACUAAUGAAAAUAAUUGGACUCUUCCUGAGCCAAUUCCUGAGCCAAUUGAGCCAACUCUUGAGCCUAUUCCUAAACCAACUCCGAAGAAGAGGGGUGUUCUAUUUCUCAGUCCUGAAGAUAUGCAAGAGGCAAAGAAAUCAAUGAAAGAAAAGGCUAUUAAAGCCGAAGAUGUUAAAAUUUUAACUCCUAUUGAAGAAAUACAUGGUCUUAAUAUACCGCCUGAUGAGGAAACAUGUUGUCUUGAUAACCCGACACAGGUAGUGAAGGUAAAUUCUCUCUAUAGAUAUGAUAAAGUUGAAAUUCCGUCUACUAAAUUUCCUAGCCAGUGCUUAGAUGAAUUUGAUGACUUUAUGGAUAAACAAGCAAAUUUUAAUGAUUAUGUUAGUAGACAGUUGAAAAAUAAUGCUUACAUGAUUGGACGCUUGAGUGAUUAUAUGUCUAGAGUUAAGGGUGAACUUAAACUUACUAGUAAACAUGUUUCUAUGGUCACCACUCAAGCUGAAUAAGUACUUAAGGCUCAGAAUGAAUUGCUUGAUGAAUUAAAUAAUAAACAUGACUUUGCUGUUAGAAUGGCUACUAGAACUGGUAAAAUGACUCAGGAACCUUUGUAUCCUAAAGGCCACCCUAAGAGAAUUGAACAAGAUUCUCAUAAUAAUAAUCUAGAUGCUCCUAGUUCUUCUAAGAAGAAGAAAAAGAAAAAUGAUAGGACUUUGCAUGCUUCUAGUGAACCUAAUGUAGAAACACCUGAGAAUCCUAAUGAUACUUCUAUCUCUGAUGCUGAAACACAAUCCGGAGAUGAGCAUGAACCUAAUGAUAAUGCUAAUAAUGAUGAUCAUGUAGAUGCUCAACCUAGUAAUAACAAUGAUAUAGAAAUUGAACCUGUUGUUGAUCUUGAUAACCCACAAUCAAGAAAUCAACGUUAUGAUAAGAGAGACUUUGUUGCUAGGAAACAUGGUAGGGAAAGAGGACCAUGGAUUCAAAAACCCAUGCCUUUUCCUCCUAAACCAUCCAAGAAAAAGGAUGAUGAGGACUUUGAGCGCUUUGCUGAAAUGAUUAGACCUGUUUUCUUACGCAUGCGCUUAACAGAUAUGCUUAAAACGAACCCUUAUGCUAAAUACAUGAAAGAUAUCAUUACUAAUAAAAGGAAAAUACCUGAAGCUGAAAUCUCCGCCAUGCUUGCCAACUAUACCUUUAAGGGUGGAAUACCUAAGAAACUUGGUGAUCCCGGAGUACCCACUAUACCAUGUUCCAUAAAAAGAAAUUAUGUUAAAACUGCCUUAUGUGAUUUAGGAGCCGGUGUUAGUGUUAUGCCUCUUUCCUUGUAUCGUAGACUUGAAUUAAGUAAGUUGACACCUACUGAGAUAUCUUGGCAAAUGGCUGAUAAAUCAACUGCUAUACCUGUCAGCAUUUGUGAGUACGUGCCUGUUGUUGUUGCGAAUGUUACUAUCUUAAUAGACUUUGUCAUUCUUGAUAUCCCUGAGGACGACAGUAUGUCGAUUAUCCUUGGUAGACCUUUUUUUAAUACUGCAGGUGCUGUUAUUGAUUGCAAUAAAGGCAAUGUCACGUUUCAUGUUAGUGGAAAUGAGCAUACGGUACACUUUCCGAGGAAUCAACCUCAAGUUCACAACAUAAAUUCUAUCAGGAAAAUUCCAUCAAUUAUAUUUGAAGGUUUUGAAUUUCCUCUUCCUACUGCAAAGAAAAAGUAUGAUAUUCUUAUUAUAGGGGAUGUUCAUAUCCCCGUUGAGGUAACAUAGUGCCACUUCGAAAUUUCUCCGGUUCCAUGUUAUUCUGAAUGAGUUUGUUAACAAGACUUGAUCAACCUUGUUAGUGGAUUCCUUUUGAUGAUCAUGAGAUGGAUGAAACUAGAAGGCACCACCUUCUGUACUCUCUCUUUACUUUAUGUUACUUAGAAUAAAUAAAGUAGAAAUAAUAUAUUUUGUCUAUUUUCUGAAUUAUCCAUGCAAUAAAAAAUAUCCCGAAAAUAAAAGUUCUCCAAAUGCCAUGCCAAUUUAAUAUGACUUUUUGUGGAAUAUUUGAGAAUAUUUGGCACUGGGAACACAGCAGGGGGAGCAAGCACCUGGCCACAAGGGUCUAGGGCGCGCCCACCCCUACAGGGCGUGCCCCCCUGCCUCGUGGGCCCACGGUGGCUCCCCUCCACUUACUCCUGCACCCACACACUCCAUCUUCCUCCCAAAAAAAUCCCCAUCUAGCUCAAGCACGAGUUCUAGCUUGUUUUGCUGCGAUUUUCGAUCUCCUUGCUCAAAGCUCCAUUCACAAAACUGCUUUGGAGAUUGUUGCUUGGUAUGUGACUCCUCCAAUGAUCCAAUUAGUUUUUGUUCUAGUGCUUUAUUCAUUGCAAAUUCUUGCUACUUAGGUGACCCUGUUCUUGAGCUUGCAUUUAAAUUUAUGAGGUCCCAAGUAAUUCUAAUGCAUGAUAUAGGCUCUAGGCACUUAUGGGAGUGGUUGCUAUCAAUUAUAUUGAGUUUGUUUCACUUUUAUUUUGAAGUUACUAAAAAUUUCAGAAUUUUCAGAAAAAGAUGAAGAGGUGGUUCUUGAGGGGCUCUUCUAGCCAAGGCUCCAAGGAUAAGCAAGCUAAGGAGAAAGAGAAGGCCAAGUAUAAUCUUCCUCGCAUAGCGGAAGUAAGGCCUUGUGAGUGGCCAUGUGAUAAUUUCUUGAGAGCAACCGGGAUUUAUAAAGACUUUUAUUCUUUGGCUGAAAAUGCGGGCCUCACCGACUUCCUCCAUGACUGGAUCGAACAGUAUCUCUUACUUACCAAUACUUUCGUGCAAAACUUUUAUUAUUAUCCUAAGAACUCACCUCCUUUAGUAUCUUUUCAUUUAUAUGAUGAGGCUAAGGAAAUGUCAUUACAUAAUUUUUGCGCGGUUUGUAGAAUACCCUUUGAGGGUAGCUUGGAUGAACAACAUCGUAAAGAUGUGGAUGGCUCCGUUGAUACUAUUGAUGUAGGGGAAUCGAAGAAAGGUUUCGAUGCAAGAAUCACUAGCAUACACUUUCCUGUUUUAUGCUACUUUGCCAUAUUUGCUAGUCGAUGCUUAAUUGGUCGUGGAAAUAGUGGAAAUUUUAGUGUUCCUGAUAUUAUUAUUCUGCUCCAUGCCUUAUUCGGUGAUAAAACUUUUAGUAUGGGAGCUGUUAUUGCUAAACGGUUAAGCCUAAACCGUACACCCUGUCCAUGAGGGUGGGGGGCGCGCCCCCUCCCCCUGGUCGCGCCCCCUGUCUCGUGGCCCCCCUGAUGCUCCACCGACCUCAACUCCAACUUCAUAUAUUCCGUUUCACAGAGAAACAAAUCAGAGAGAAAGUUUCAUCGCGUUUUACAAUACGAAGCCGCCGCCAAGCCCUAAAACCUCUCGAGAGGGCUGAUCUGGAGUCCGUUCGAGGCUCCGGAGAGGGGGAUUCAUCGCUGUCGUCAUCAUCAACCAUCCUCCAUCACCAAUUUCAUGAUGCUCACCGCCGUGCGUGAGUAAUUCCAUCGUAGGCUUGCUGGACGGUGAUGGGUUGGAUGAGACUUACCAUGUAAUCAAGUUAGUUUUGUUAGGGUUUGAUCCCUAGUAUCCACUAUGUUCUGAGAUUGAUGCUGCUAUGACUUUGCUAUGCUUAAUGCUUGUCACUAGGGCCCGAGUGCCAUGAUUUCAGAUCUGGACCUAUUAUGUUUUCAUGAAUAUAUGUGAGUUCUUGAUCCUAUCUUGCAAGUCUAUAGUCACCUAUUAUGUGUUAUGAUCCGACAACCCCGAAGUGACAAUAAUCGGGAUACUUCUCGGUGAUGACCGUAGUUUGAGGAGUUCAUGUAUUCACUAUGUGUUAAUGCUUUGGUCCAGUACUCUAUUAAAAGGAGGCCUUAAUAUCCCUUAGUUUCUGAUAGGACCCCGCUGCCACAGGAGAGUAGGACAAAAGAUGUCAUGCAAGUUCUUUUCCAUAAGCACAUAUGACUAUAUUCGGAAUACAUGCCUACAUUAUAUUGAUGAACUGGAGCUAAUUCUUUGUCACCCUAUGAUAUAACUAUUACAUGAUGAAUUACAUCCGGCAUAAUUAUCCAUCACUAAUCCAUUGCCUAUGAGCUUUUCACAUAUUGUGCUUCGCUUAUUUACUUUUCCGUUGCUACCGUUACAAUUACCACAAAACUACUAUCGUUACUUUUGCCACUGUUACCAUUACUAUCAUACUACUUUGCUGCAGAUACUAAGUUAUCCAGGUGUGGUUGAAUUUACAACUCAACUGCUAAUACUUGAGAAUAUUCUUUGGCUCCCCUUGUGUCAAAUCAAUAAAUUUGGGUUGAAUACUCUACCUCAAAAAUUGUUGCGAUCCCCUAUACUUGUGGGUUAUCAGCGGGCGACGCUCAUUAGUACCGGUUCGUGGCGAACCUUUAGUACCGGUUCGUGCCACGAACCGGUAUUAAAGAGGUGGUGGCCUUUAGUACGGGUUGGUGGCUCCAACUGAUACUAAGAGCAUGUCUAACAGAGCCCUCAAACUGGUCAAACCCUCAAAAUAACUGCCAGUUUGAGGGUUGAGCUGAAAAAAGGGCGCAGAUCAGAACCCUCAAAUCUUUAAACCCUCAAUUUUUUUUCCAGGCCGAACCCUCAAGUUUGAGGCCAACCUGUAGCAGUGAGGGUUUGUGCCAAUUUCCCAGGCCGAACCCUCACUCGGUCAACGUCCGCGCGGGAGGGAAAAUUCCCCCACCUUCCUCCCUCCUCCGCCCAACCUCGGCCCGCCAGCGCCGGCAUCGCCGAUUCGGCCGCCACCACCGUCGCAUCGCCACCGCCCCCCGCCGCCCCACGGCGCCCCAUUUUGGCCGCUGCCCCGCCGCCCGAUUUGCCCGAGCUCGCCUCCGCCCCNNNNNNNNNNNNNNNNNNNNNNNNNNNNNNNNNNNNNNNNNNNNNNNNNNNNNNNNNNNNNNNNNNNNNNNNNNNNNNNNNNNNNNNNNNNNNNNNNNNNNNNNNNNNNNNNNNNNNNNNNNNNNNNNNNNNNNNNNNNNNNNNNNNNNNNNNNNNNNNNNNNNNNNNNNNNNNNNNNNNNNNNNNNNNNNNNNNNNNNNNNNNNNNNNNNNNNNNNNNNNNNNNNNNNNNNNNNNNNNNNNNNNNNNNNNNNNNNNNNNNNNNNNNNNNNNNNNNNNNNNNNNNNNNNNNNNNNNNNNNNNNNGUCCGCCCCCGCCUCCUGCAGCCCCGCCGCAUCGAUGUCCGCCCCCCGCCUCCUGCUGCCCCGCCGCGUCGCCGUCCGCCUCCACGCCCCCCUCGACUCCGGCUCCGCCCGAGCCACUCGGUAAGUCUUUUUUCCCUUUUUUGUUUCUUUUCCAUUGUUUAAUUGUUGUCUAAUUGCUUGUUUAAUUUGUUGACAAUAGAUGGAGAUGUUGGAUUUUUUGAUUGGUCGUCUUCGGAUGAUUCGGACAUCGAGGAGCUGCUAGAAGACAAUGACACGGAGAUGAUGGUCACCAUUCUCGCCGUGAAAGAUGUUGAGGAUUGCAACAAGCUGUUGGAUCAGAGGAAGGGGUUGCAGAUAGGGCGCCUUUGCAUCGAGAGGAACCGCGCACUCGGCCACGAGCAACUCAUGCAAGACUACUUUGCAGAGGUACCGACAUACCCACCUCGCCUCUUCCGUAGAAGGUACCGCAUGCACCGUACUUUGUUUGAGGGAAUCGUCAAAGAUUGCGAGGCCAACUCGCAUUAUUUCAGGCACCGUACAAAAUGUUGCCGGUGCCAUGGGAUUUAGUGCAUACCAGAAGAUAUCGGCUGCAAUGCGGGUGCUCGCGUAUGGCAUACACGUGGACUACUGUGACGAGUAUCUUCGCAUUGGCCAAGAUACUACCACCGAGUCCGUGCGUAGGUUUGCCAAGAUGGUCAUCCGGUUGUAUGGUGAUUGGUAUCUUCGGGCUCCCAAUGAGGAAGAUACAAAGAGGUUGAUGGAGACAAAUGAAAAAAGGGGAUGGCCGGGCAUGCUUGGUAGUCUAGAUUGCAUGCACUGGAAAUGGAAAAAUUGCCCAAAGGCAUGGCAUGGAAUGUAUUACGGUAAAAGCCAUGAUCCUACCAUUGUGCUUGAGGCCAUGGCAUCGCAAGACUUAUGGAUUUGGCAUGCAUAUUUUGGUUUGCCGGGAACACUCAAUGACAUCAAUGUGCUUCAAAGGUCCCCUUUAUUUGCAAGACUAGCUUCAGGUGAUGCUCCAACUUGCAAUUACAAGGUCAUGGACAAUGAGUACACAAUGGGAUACUAUCUCACCGAUGGCAUUUAUCCUGAGUGGGCAACACUUGUGAAGUCCAUUAAAGAGAAGAGAGGGAUGCCCUUAUCCCAAAAAGAAGCUAAUUUCACGAGGGCACAAGAAUCAGCCCGCAAAGACAUUGAGAGAGCUUCCGGUGUUUUGCAAGCAAGAUUUGCCAUUGUUCGGGGUCCAGCUCAUUUUUGGGACAAGAAAACCCUUGUGAACAUCAUGAAGUGUUGUGUCAUUCUACACAACAUGAUACUCGAGGAUGAGAGGGGGUUAAACUUGCCAUGUUUCUAUGAUAAUGUUGGUACCCGAGUGCAACUGGAGAGGAACCCCGAUCGCAUUCAAGCUUUUCUUCAAACACAUCGGGAUAUUGAAAAUGCCAAUGCUCAUACCCAGCUCCGCAAUGAUCUGGUCGAGCACCACUGGCAGCUGCUUGGCCGUCGCCAAUGAUGGCCUAUUUGAUUCAAACAUGUCCUAUUUCAUUCCAUGUCCUAUUUGUGAUACAAACAUUGUUGUAAGGGAUAUUUGUUUUACUUUUGUAUGUACUAUUUGAUUCAAACAUUGUUGUACUAAGUAGAAUGAUUGUUGUGAGCUUUAAACAAUUAUUUUAUGUUGUAAUCAUAACUAGAAUAAUUAUUUGUUGUUGAUUAUUGUUAUGUUUGUUGUAUGAAUAUUGGUUGAAAUACUUGUUGUCCAUUUUUGAAGGUUUGAAGGCCGGGGCGCAGAUCAGUGUCCUCAAACCAACCCUCAAAACAGAAUAUUCUGUUUUAAGGGUUGGUUUGAGGACACUAAUCUGCGCCAGUGAUUUUUGGCCUUUAAAACGACAAUUUCUCAAUCCUCAAACUGGUUUUGAAGGUUGAGUUUUGAGGGUUCUAUUAGACAUGCUCUAAAGACCCCCCCCCCUUAGUACGGGUUCGUGCCACCAACCGGUACUAAAGGGGUGCGCUGCCACCCGCAGUGCACAAUGUUUAGUCCCACCUCGCUAGGUGAGAGGAGCUCGCACCGGUUUAUAAGCCCCGCCGCGGCUACCGUGUCGAGCUCCUCUCUAAGAAGGCCUUUGUAGGCCUAUUGCAAGUCGUCUGCCCUGUGGGCCCUAAUGGGUUGUACGGGCUUGCAUCCUGGCCCAACUAGAGGUUGGGUUUCUAGUCGUAUGCAGGCCGUGCCGGCCCAGUAGGUGGGCUGUUUUUGUCGUGCCUCGUGCCACAUGGUGGCCCUUUAGUGUCGGUUCGUGCUGAACCGGGACUAAAGGGGGACCUUUAGUCCCCACACUUUAGUGUCGGUUGUAGAAACCGGCACUAAAAGCCCCUACGAACCGUUAAUAUAGCUCCAUUUUCUACUAGUGAUAGAGCACCGAGCGGUGCGAGGCGUGCAACUCGCUUUGAGCUUCCCGCCUGCUACCAACGUCUUGCUCGUGGAUCGCAGCGAGCUUGCGCACGUGUGUUAUGCUGGCAUGCUACCGUGCUUGCUUCCUGCCGCUGUGCUUGCUUGCUACUGCCACGUUCCAGGAGCGCCGCAGUGAUGCGUCUCGUGCAUGCAUGCUCCUUGUUAGAAGGGAGAAAGAGGAUUGGUGGAAUAAUUGUUGUAUUGCUUGAGCCUCGUGGGCAUAUAUAUAGGAGUACAUGAUCUACUUGGAGUACAAGGCAAGCCAGAAUAUUUCCUAGUCUAACCUAUGUUUCCCAAUACAAUCACGUUACUCAAUACCCCCCCGCAGUCACAACAGUAGCGACACAGACGGUGAGACUGGAGAAGAAUCCGAAGGCAAGCCGACAGACACCCCCACAGUCCUAACGGUCGACGCAUCGCGGAGUCAUGGCUGGAGUGGAAACCAACGAGGUUGCUCAAGCAGGUGAUAGCCCUUUAUGAUGUUUGUCGAUGUAGCCAAGAGCGUGGGUGGUGGAGCCGUGGUCGAGGUAGCCGUGUGAAGAAUGUCGUGGUCGAUGUCGAGUCUGGGUGCGCCGACCGGGCUUGCUAGGCCCGGUGUCGAGGAAGUUGUCGUGGAGCCGCGGGCGCAAGAGGGUGCCGAGUUAGUCAUGGGCGCAGUGGUGAUGAGGUAGUGGUGCGCCGGAAGGAUGAUGGUGUUGACGUGUAGGACCUUGAAGUAAGUCUAGAGGGGGGGGUGAUUAGACUACUUGACCAAUUAAAAACUUAACCUUUUCCCAAUUUUAGAGUUUGACAGAUUUUAGCUAUUUUUAGGACAAGUCAAGGAACCAUCACACAAUUCAAGCAAGCAUGCAAAGAGUAUAUAGGCAGCGGAAAUUAAAGCAUGCAACUUGCAAGAAAGUAAAGGGAAGGGUUUGGAGGAUUCAAACGCAAUUGGAGACACAGAUGUUUUUGGCAUGGUUCCGAUAGGUGGUGCUAUCGUACAUCCACGUUGAUGGAGACUUCAACCCACGAAGGGUAACGGCUGCGCGAGUCCACGCAGGGCUCCACCCAAGAAGGGUCCACGAAGAAGCAACCUUGUCUAUCCCACCAUGGCCGUCGCCCACGAAGGACUUGCCUCACUAGCGGUAGAUCUUCAUGAAGUAGGCGAUCUCCUUGCCCUUACAAACUCCUUGGUUCAACUCCACAAUCUUGUCGGAGGCUCCCAAGUGACACCUAGCCAAUCUAGGAGACACCACUCUCCAAGAAGUAAUAAAUGGUGCGUUGAUGAUGAACUCCUUGCUCUUGUGCUUCAAAUGAUAGUCUCCCCAACACCCAACUCUCUCUCAUAGGAUUUGGAUCUGGUGGAAAGAGCGUUUGAGUGGAAAGCAACUUGGGGAAGGCUAGAGAUCAAGAUUCAUAUGGUAGGAAUGGAAUAUCUUGGCCUCAACACAUGAGUAGGUGGUUCUCUCUCAGAAAUGGUAAGUUGGAAGUGUAGGUUUAGUCUGAUGGCUCUCUCCACGAAUGAAGAGGAGGUGGAGGGGUAUAUAUAGCCUCCACACAAAAUCUAACCGUUACACACAAUUUACCAAACUCGGUGGGACCGAAUCGUUAAACUCGGUCGGACCGAUUUUGUAAACCUAGUGACCGUUAGUGAUUUUCGGUGGGACUGACAUGCAUCUCGGUGAGACCGAUUCGGUUAGGGUUAGGGCAUAACGUAAUCUCGCUGAGACCGAUUACACAAACUCGGUGAGACCGAUUUUGGUAAUUAGCUAACCAGAGAGUUGGUCAGGUAAACUCGGUGGGACCGAUUUGCUCUUUUCAGUGAGACCGGAAUGUUACAAAAAGGAAACAGAGAGUUUACAUUGCAAUCUCGGUGGGACCGAUCGCUCACUUCGGUUAGACCGAAACGUUAUGAAGGGAAACAGAGAGAUUGCAACCCCAUCUAGGUGAGAACGAGAUCCCUAUCGGUAAGACCGAUUUGCUUAGGGUUUGUGGCAGUGGCUAUGACUUUGGAAUCGGUGGCGCCGGAUUGGAAGAAUCGGUGUGACCGAUUUUGGCUUUAGGUUUAGGUCAUUUGUGGAUGUGGGAAAGUAGUUGAGGGUUUUGGAGCAUAUCACUAAGCACAUGAAGCAAUAUGCUCAUUAAGCAACACCUCAUCCCUUCUUGAUAGUAUUGGCUUUUCCUAUAGACUCAAUGUGAUCUUGGAUCACUAAAAUGUAAAAUGAAGAGUCUUGAGCUUUUGAGCUUGAGCCAAUCCUUUGUCCUUAGUAUUUUGAGGGAUCCACUUUCAUCAUCCAUGCCAUGCCAUUCAUUGAGCUUUCCUGAAAUAAUAGUCUUGGAAUAGCAUUAGCUCAAUGAGCUAUAUGUUGUUAUGAAUUACCAAAACCACCUAGGGAUAGUUGCACUUUCAAUCUCCCCCUUUUUGGUAAUUGAUGACAACAUAUAGAUCAAAGCUUCGACAAAUGAUAAGAAAAUUUAAAUAACAUCGUCGCUUUGAGAAGUAUGUGAUAAGCAAGAGCUCCCCCUAAAUUUGUGCAUAGUUUUAGAUUUGCUUUGGACUGCAAAUGCAUAAUGAAUUAGACUCAUGGGUUACUCUUCCAUGUUACAUACAUCUUGGUGGAGCGCUCAAAAUAAUAAACAAUGAAUACAUGCACUCAUCACCAAGCAUAGUGAGUGAUCACAUAAGAUAGAUAGGAUAAUAUCAAGCAUGCAUAAGUGUAGCUUAUGAUCAAACACAUGAUCAUCAAUGUCUCACAAGCAUAGUAUCUCAACCAAAAGCAAACAAAGAUCAAAUAAAGCAAGAGAGAACAAAAGCAACUCUCUCUCUCUCGAAGCCUAUGAUCUAUACAUUUUUCUCCCCCUUUGGCAACAAGUUACCAAAAAAUUCAUAGAAAAUGCAUAGUGCUAGAUCGACUCUCAGGCUUGAUCUUCUGGUGGUGGUGUCCUGAUAACUCCUUGGACGAAGGCUUCAGUUGAUGUAGAGGGUGCUGGAGUUGAUGCUGAAGCUGGUUGCACUAGAGCUGAAGGGGCAGUAGCUGGUGCUGAAGAUGUUGCUCUAGUAUCCGGCACUGGCACAGCAACUGACCUCUGGGCUCUAGGCACUCUGGCAAAGACAUUUGUGGUUGUCUUGCCCUUCCUCUCCUGCAUGUCUUCCUACAGCUGCUCCACAACUGACUGAAUCUCAGUUACCUUGACAUCUAGAUCAUAGAACUUUGUUCCAUGAUUCUCUCCAGGCUCUCCUGAUUCUGAGUUAAGGUGGCCAACCCCUUCUCAAUCCUCAGAGAUGAUGCUAUCAAGUAACCAAGAUGCUCCUGCUUGUUUUUCAAGAAAUACUCAGAUGCCUCCUCUUGAGUUGGCAUCUUGGCAGCCUUCUCCUUCCUUGCCUUCUCUUUCUUCUCCUGAGCUUGAACUGAUUGUGGAUCAUCUUCAUUCAUGACAACCUCAUUGUCCUCAAAGUCUGGAUAAAGUGGAAAGUGUUCCUUAUCCAACUGAUAUUUUCCUAUGCCCAUCUUUGAGUUUAUCAAUUCUUGAAUCUGAGGUGCAUACCCACAACUCCUCUUCUAAUCUGCUGCAGUCCUCUUGAUUGUUUCAAUGAUCAGGCUCAUGACUUUGAAUUUUUGUGGCACAUCAAAUAAAUGCAACAUAUUGAUGGCAUGCCCUCUGAUCUUGUUAUGGUCACCAGACUUGGGCAACAAAGUGUGCCUCAGAAUCCAAUUUAUAGUAGGCAGCCCUGACAACAGAAAAUGGACUGAUCCAAAAGAGAAAGUCUCUAGGGCUUUGUCUGGAAUUUCCUUGUACAUGUGAGCCAUUGAAUUGUGACCCAUCUUCUUCUUGGCAUAAAUGUCUAGGUCAUCCUCAUUCUCCUUGGGGGCAUUUAUCAGUUUUGCCCAUUCUUCUACAGUGGAUUGGUACCUUGUACCUUCAGACAUCCAAACAAUUCUUCCAUCUGGGUAGAAGUGUGAUGUGGAGUAGAACUGCAUGAUAAGCUCAUCAUUCCAAUUUGUGAGCUUUUGCCCAACAAAAUCUGCAACUCCACAAGCAACAAAGCUGUCUUACACUCCAGGAUAGUGCUGUUCAUUUUCCUUGAUGAAUUUCCAGUCAACCCACCUCAUGUCACAAACUAUGGGCUUCUUGUCCAAUAAGAUUGUCUCAUAGAAGUCCUGCUGUUCCUUUGUAUGGAACCUGUAAUCAACAGCAGUUCUUCUUCUUGUGGCAUAUGGAUCUGCCAUUCUCCAUAGUCUUAGCCCUGAAUCCUUCCUGAUUCUCAUGUCCUCAGCCACUGGAUGGGUAUCAUUGUGAUCUGGUAUCUUUGGCUUGAGUUUCCUUAGAACAUGUCCUUCUUCAUCUUCUUCCUCAGCAAUCUCAGGCACUGGGGCCUUGUUCUUCUCAGCAGCUGGAAUACUCCUGGUAUUCCUCUUUGGUGCAGACUUGGCCUUGGGGACAGCUUUGGGUGCUUCCUUGGGCUUAGAUGUUGCAGCCCCUGAUCUGAUUGCAUCACCCAUAAGCUUAGGUGCCUUUGGAGCUGGUGCAGCAAGUUCUUCCUCUUCCAUUAUGGAAGGUUGCCCAACAACUCUGGCUAUGGUCUUCUUGACCCUUUCCUUCCUCUUCUUGCUUUCAUCAACUGGCUCUUUGGGAUCAGGGUUCACAUGCAGUUGAGUUGAUGCUCUGGCCUUGGGCAUAGGUUGCCUUCCUGCAGGCCUUUUAAUCUUCAUGCCUGGCUUUAUAUCCUUUGCUGAGCCAAUUUCCUUCUUGAGCACCACUUUCUUGGAAGUAGCCUCAUCUUCCUCAGCCUUGUAAUCUUCAUCCUCUGAAUCUGAAGUUCUUUUCCUCCUUUGCCUAGUUGCAGCCUUUGGCAAAUUGCUAGGAGUACUUCUGCUCCCUUCAUCUGAGGUUGAGGGACUAGUGCCCUCACUCAAGUCCAUCUGCUCUUCUGGCCUGUUCUGGCUGUCACUUUGAUCAGACAUACUUCAAAAGCUGACUGCUGACCCUAUGAAGAGUUAUAGAUGAGAUAGAAAAGAUGAGCAUCACAAAAUACAGAGGUUUUUGCAAAAAGGAAUGACUCAAAAGUUCAGUUUUAGUUUUCCACAGAAAGCAUUUCGGAUCCACCAAUUUUCAAACUCGGUGAUACCGAAGCAGUUUUGGAACCUAAACUGAUGAUCUCGGUUGGACCGAGUUUCAGUUUGGUGGUACCGACACUGCUAGGGUUUCACAGAGUCCUCAAAUCGGUUGCACCGAUUAGUAAUUCUCAGUCAGACCGAGAGUCACUAGUGCAAUGGCAUAAGCCAAAUCGGUGAGACCGAGUUUUUCAACUCGGUGGGUCCGAGAUGGUUUCGGCGGAAACCUAACCCUAAAAAUUUGAAUCACAUCUAAUCUAUGAACUACUUUGGCUGGAUAGAAGAGUUUCAAUCGUGGCAAGAAUCAAUAGGAGUACAAUGUGCUAGGAAUCAGAUAUGGAUAGCACAAAGAUCAAGUCCAUACCCUAACUUGGCGGUGGACUUGCUACAGCGGCAACGGCGGAGACGAAAUCCAUUGACGGCGGCGGAGACCAGCGACAGGAGGCUGCUGGCGACGAGGAGACGAUCCGGAGACCACGAUGGCAGAGCGAGCUGUUGCACGGGCGAAGGGUUUCGAAGAAAUUUCCAAAAUUUUGCCCGUGUCUAUAUAUAGCCCGACCCUGUCGGUGUGACCGAGUGGAACAACUCGGUGGCACCGAGAUGCAUAACUGUGUUCAGUUAUAGCAACUCGGUGAGACCGAAAAGUUCAAAUCGGUUGCACCGAGAUGGAAAACUCAGAUCAACUUAAUGAUCUCGGUAGGACCGAAAUGGAGGAAUCAGUCAGACCGAGAAUCACAAAGAGGUUUUGGAAGUUUAAGUCUAUGACGAAUCGGGGACUCCGAGUGCUCCUCACGCAGAGUGGUUCGAAUCUGACUUGAUCAAAUUUUGUGAUGUAGCAUGAAUAGAGUUUGAGACGAGAAAAGCAUAGAUAGCUAAAUAAGGUUCUUAGGCAUUCUUGUCCAUCCACUUGGCACAAACAAGAGGAACCAAACAAACAAAACAACAAGUGGAUGUUCUCGAAUGAGUAAAAUAUGCACCAACAUGCUCACACAAUAAGAUGGCAAAUGAAAUAUGUGGCAAAGCAUGCACAACCAAUUCUAGCAUCUAUCAAACAAUUGGCGAUGACUAGGUCAUCUACAUAUGAGUAUAUUGACUUAGGAGUCAAAUGAGAACAUUUGAUCAUAGGUCAUACUCAUCGUUUAAGCUCAAGUGGGGUUACCACUUUUACAUAAUGCAUUAAUGUGUUCACACCAUUAGAGUUGCUUUGACUCAAUUCUUUGAGUUAAGCUCCCCCUAGAUGUGAGAUCCCCCUUAGAGGGAUGAACUAACCUUGGGUUUUGUCGAUGAUGACUUCAUGUAGGUGUUGAAGAUGUAGAUGCUCAAUGUUGAUGUAGAUCAUUUGGAGCAAUCCUUUGGAGUGAGUUGCACUUUCAACUUGCCUACAUGGGUUAGUCCCACAAGGAACAAGCAAGAAUAUCCAUAGACAUAGAGUGAUGCACACACAAAAUGAUGUCCAUGAUAACAUUAGAUUACCUUGUCCCUUGCCUUACCACAGAGGGUUUGUGACUCCUUGAACUAGUGCAAGAUGUGAAAGUUGAUUGCACUUGUUCUUGCCAAAAUGAUAUGAGUGAAGAAUGUUGGCGGAGUCACCCUCAAGAACUCUCUAGUUCUUCUUCUUCGGGAUCCACAUCAUCUUGAUGGGAAUCCUUGGAGUUGUAGUUGUACUUGAUGAAGUAGAACUUGACGUAGUCUUAGGGACCCACUUGAACGAGGCUUUAGGUGCUUCUUCAAAUGCAUCAAUCUCUUCUUGAAGCUUGUCCUUGCCUUUGUUCUUGUGGUCUUGUGGUGGAAGAUCAUCUUGAGCUUGUGUCCCCUUGAAGGAAGUAGGAUCAUACUUCUCUUGUUGAGGAACAAACUUUGUCUUGGGGUAUUGAUCUUCUUCCCACUCAACUCCAUUGGCGUUGAACUUUCGUUCAAAACCAACACCUUGAUUCUUCCGGUGCCUUCCUUGCUUGCGUACAAUUUCCUCGAAUUGCUUACUCCCGGCAAGGCUCUUGUAAACACCUUUCUCUAUAAUUCCCUUCAAUAAACUAUUUUCUUGCUCAAGAGUAACUUGGCUAAGAGAAUCAUUAGAGGAAUCAAGAGAACUACUAGAAGCAACAACAUUGGAUUUAACAUUAUUAUUGUUACUACUAGAGGAAGUAUAUUUCUUGUACUUGUUACUAGACUUGACUUGUGGCAUGUAAGUAGAUAAGAGUAAAUGCUUGGCAAUGUAAGAAGAACUUUUCUUGCGGAGAUCAUCAUUGAUUGCCUUUAAGAACUCAUGCUCUUGCUCAAGAUUGAGCUUUUCAAAGCGUAACUUCUCAUGAGCCCUUAAAAGUUCUCGAUGAUCUUCGAAGAUAGUUUCAUGAGCCAACUUAAGAGUGUUUAGUUCUUUAGUUAGAAGCUCAAUUUUCUCCUUAUCAUUGUUAUUCGUUUGAUUUGCAUGAUUAAUUGACGUUUCAUCAUAGUAUUCAUCACUAGAGUUGUCAACAAGUAAAUCAUCAUCCACAAGCAAGUCAUCUUCAUCACUAUUGAAAUCAACAUACUCGGGAUGUGUUACCUUUGGACCUUUGGCCAUGAAGCAUCUUCCAAUUCCUUCAUUUGGUGAGUCAAAUAUGUCGUAGGAGUUGGUUGAGACAAGUGCUAGACCGGCAACACCUUCAUCUUGAGUAUGUUCGGAGUCGGAGUGAUAGCUUCUCUCGAGUGAUUGUCGGAGUCGGAGCUGGAAACCCAUUCACCAACAUGAGCUUGAUGUCUUCGUUUUGUGUAGCUCCUUGAUGACUUGUCCUUCCUUUACGAAUCCUUGCUUCUCCGUGAGGGUCUUCGUUCAUAAUGAUCAUCUCUACUCCUCCUCUCUCUUGGUGGUGAAUCUUCUCUUUUGCUUCUUCUUUUUGGAGAGUCUUCUCUUCUUUUGUAGGGUGCCGCACACUCAUUGGAGUAGUGUCCAGGCUUCCCACAAUUGUAGCAAUUUCGCUCUCGACUAGAAGAUCUGUUGUCAUGAUAAGACCUUGACUUGGAGCUUCUUUCUUUGCUUCUACUCUUGUAGAAUUUGUUGAAGUUCUUCACCAUUAAGCUCAAUUCUUCAUUGAAGGUUUGUUUCUCACUUGAUGAUGUGGGGGCUUCACUUUAGGCUUUGUAAGCACCACUUGACUUGUUGUGAAGUUCCUCCUUAUCCUUGAGUGACAUCUCAUGAGCAAAAAUUCUUCCAAUGACUUCUGUUGGCUUGAGAUUUUUGUAGUUUGGCAUCAUUUGGAUCAAUGUGCACACGGUAUCAUACUUUCCAUCCAAUGCUCUUAGGAUCUUCUUGAUGAUGAAUCUGUCGGUCAUCUCUUCACUCCCUAAGCCGGCAAUCUCAUUUGUGAUAAGUGCAAGCCUAGAGUACAUUUCAGCGACACCUUCACCAUCCUUCAUUUUGAACUUGUCAAGCUGACUUUGGAGCACAUCCAACUUGGAUUCCUUGACGGAUUCGGUACCUUCAUGCAUAUCAAUCAAAGUAUCCCAAGUUUCCUUUGCAUUCUCAAGACGGCUGAUUUUGUUGAACUCUUCGGGGCACAACCCGUUGAAGAUGAUAUCACAAGCCUGAGCGUUGUAUUGCAGCAUCUUCAAUUCUUCUGCAUUCGCUUCACGGUUCGGUUCUCUCCCAUCAAAGAAUUCACCUUGCAAGCCAAUACAAAUAAUUGCCCAAAUGGCGGGGUUAUGUCCGAGAAUAUGCAUUUUCAUCUUAUGCUUCCAACUAGAAAAAUUAGUACCAUCAAAGUAAGGACCUCUACGGUGAUAAUUUCCCUCGCUAGACGCCAUACUAUCCUAGGUUGUGCAACCAAGGCUAUGACCACCAAAAGCUAUGGAAAUCAAAGCAAAUGGAGACCAACGCUCUGAUACCACUUGUAGGACCUUGAAGUAAGUCUAGAGGAGGGUGAUUAGACUACUUGACCAAUUAAAAACUUAACCUUUUCCAAAUUUUAGAGUUUGACAGAUUUUAGCUAUUUUUAGGACAAGUCAAGGAACCAUCACACAAUUCAAGCAAGCAUGCAAAGAGUAUAUAGCCAGCGGAAAUUAAAGCAUGCAACUUGCAAGAAAGUAAAGGGAAGGGUUUGGAGGAUUCAAACGGAAUUGGAGACACGGAUGUUUUUGGCGUGGUUCCGAUAGGUGGUGCUAUUGUACAUCCACGUUGAUGGAGACUUCAACCCACGAAGGGUAAUGGCUGCGCAAGUCCACGGAGGGCUCCACCCAAGAAGGGUCCACGAAGAAGCAACCUUGUCUAUCCCACCAUGGUCGUCGCCCAUGAAGGACUUGCCUCACUAGCGGUAGAUCUUCACGAAGUAGGCGAUCUCCUUGCCCUUACAAACUCCUUGGUUCAACUCCACAAUCUUGUCGGAGGCUCCCAAGUGACACCUAGACAAUCUAGGAGACACCACUCUCCAAGAAGUAACAAAUGGUGCGUUGAUGAUGAACUCCUUGCUCUUGUGCUUCAAAUGAUAGUCUCCCCAACACUCAACUCUAUCUCAUAGGAUUUGGAUCUGGUGGAAAGAGGGUUUGAGUGGAAAGCAACUUGGGGAAGGCUAGAGAUCAAGAUUCAUAUGGUAGGAAUGGAAUAUCUUAGCCUCAACACAUGAGUAGGUGGUUCUCUCUCAGAAAUGGUAAGUUGGAAGUGUAGGUUUAGUCUGAUGGCUCUCUCCAUGAAUGAAGAGGAGGUGGAGGGGUAUAUAUAGCCUCCACACAAAAUCUAACCGUUACACACAAUCUACCAAACUCGGUGGGACCGAAUCGUUAAACUCGGUCGGACCGAUUUUGUAAACCUAGUGACCGUUAGUGAUUUUCGGUGGGACUGACAUGCAUCUCGGUGAGACCGAUUCGGUUAGGGUUAGGGCAUAACGUAAUCUCGCUGAGACCGAUUACACAAACUCGGUGAGACCGAUUUUGGUAAUUAGCUAACCAGAGAGUUGGUCAGGUAAACUCGGUGGGACCGAUUUGCUCUUUUCAGUGAGACCGAAAUGUUACAAAAAGGAAACAGAGAGUUUACAUUGCAAUCUCGGUGGGACCGAUCGCUCACUUCGGUUAGACCGAAACGUUAUGAAGGGAAACAGAGAGAUUGCAACCCCAUCUAGGUGAGAACGAGAUCCCUAUCGGUAAGACCGAUUUGCUUAGGGUUUGUGGCAGUGGCUAUGACUUUUGGAAUCGGUGGCGCCGGAUUGGAAGAAUCGGUGUGACCGAUUUUGGCUUUAGGUUUAGGUCAUUUGUGGAUGUGGGAAAGUAGUUGAGGGUUUUGGAGCAUAUCACUAAGCACAUGAAGCAAUAUGCUCAUUAAGCAACACCUCAUCCCUUCUUGAUAGUAUUGGCUUUUCCUAUAGACUCAAUGUGAUCUUGCAUCACUAAAAUGUAAAAUGAAGAGUCUUGAGCUUUUGAGCUUGAGCCAAUCCUUUGUCCUUAGUAUUUUGAGGGAUCCACUUUCAUCAUCCAUGCCAUGCCAUUCAUUGAGCUUUCCUGAAAUAAUAGUCUUGGAAUAGCAUUAGCUCAAUGAGCUAUAUGUUGUUAUGAAUUACCAAAACCACCUAGGGAUAGUUGCACUUUCAUGACGACCGUCGCGGAGGGUUUGCCAAGCCCGGGGACACAUCGUGGACGAAGGCACGCACCGAUGUUGCCAGCACCGGGCAUGCGUAGACGAACGAAGACGAAGUUGACGAAGCACCGACCAGGCUUGCCACGCCCGGGGACACGUCGUGGAUGAAGGCACGCAUCGGUGUUGCCAGCACCAGGCAUGCGUAGACGAGGGACCUGCACGAGCUGUACGCCAUGUCGGAGAAGUCGGAGGGGCCAGCAGAGAAGAACUCGACGAUGAUUGCGGCACCCAUCGGCAGGGGCCGAUGUCACCAACGGUGGUCGUGAAGGAAAUAUGCCCUAGAGGCAAUAAUAAAGUUAUUAUUUAUUUCCUCAUAUCAUGAUAAAUGUUUAUUAUUCAUGCUAGAAUUGUAUUAACCGGAAACAUGAUACAUGUGUGAAUACAUAGACAAAUAUAUAGUCACUAGUAUGCCUCUACUUGACUAGCUCAUUAAUCAAAGAUGGUUAUGUUUCCUAACCAUAGACAUGUGUUGUCAUUUGAUUAAUGGGAUCACAUCCUUAGAAGAAUGAUGUGAUUGACAUGACCCAUUCCGUUAGCCUAGCACUUGAUCGUUUAGUAUACUGCUAUUGCUUUCUUCAUGACUUAUACAUGUUCCUGUAACUAUGAGAAAUAUGCAACUCCCGUUUACCGGAGGAACACUUUGGGUACUACCAAACAUCACAACGUAACUGGGUGAUUAUAAAGGAGUACUACAGGUGUCUCCGAAGGUACAUGUUGAGUUGGCGUAUUUCGAGAUUAGGUUUUGUCACUCCGAUUGUCGGAGAGGUAUCUCUGGGCCCUCUCAGUAAUGCACAUCAUUAUAAGCCUUGCAAGCAAUGUGACCAAAUGAGUUGGUUAUGGGAUGAUGCAUUACGGAACGAGUAAAGAGACUUGCCGGUAACGAGAUUGAACUAGGUGUUGGAUACCGACGAUCAAAUCUCAGGCAAGUAACAUACCAAUGACAAAGGGAACAACGUAUGUUGUUAUGCGGUUUGACCGAUAAAGAUCUUCGUAGAAUAUGUAGGAACCAAUAUGGGCAUCCAGGUCCCGCUAUUGGUUAUUGACCGAGAAUGGUUCUAGGUCAUGUCUACAUAGUUCUCGAACCCGUAGGGUCCGCACGCUUAACAUUAUGAUGACAUUUUUAUUAUGAGUUUAUAAGUUUUGAUGUACCGAAGUUUGUUCGGAGUCCCAGAUGUGAUCACGGACAUGACGAGGAGUCUCGAAAUGGUCGAGACAUAAAGAUUGAUAUAUUGGAAGCCUAUGUUUGGACAUCGGAAAGGUUCCGGGUGAAAUCGGGAUUUUACCGGAACACCGGGGGGUUACCGGAACCCUCCCGGGGGUUAAUGGGCCUUAGUGGGCCAUGAGGGAGAAGAGGAGGGCCGGCCAGGGCAGGCCGCGCGCCCCCUCUCCCCUAGUCCGAAUAGGACAAGGAAGGGGGGGCGGCGCCCCCCUUUCCUCUUUCCCCUCCCCCCUUUCCUUCUCCACCAAGGCAAGAGGGGGGAGUCCUACUCCCGGUGGGAGUAGGACUCCUCCAGGCGCACCCCAAGGGGGCCGGCCGCACCUCCCCCUCCCUCCUUUAUAUACGGGGGAAGGGGGGCACCCCAUAACACACAAGUUAAUCUACGGAUCGUUCCUUAGCCGUGUGCGGUGCCCCCCUCCACCAUAUUCCACCUCGGUCAUAUCGUCGCAGAGUUUAGGCGAAGCCCUGCGCCGGUAGAACAUCAUCAUCGUCACCACGCCGUCGUGCUGAUGGAACUCAUCCCCGAAGCUUUGCUGGAUCGGAGCUCGGGGAUCGUCAUCGAGCUGAACGUGUGCUGAACUCGGAGGUGCCGUACGUUCGGUGCUUGGAUCAGUCGGAUCGUGAAGACGUACGACUACAUCAACCGCGUUGUUAUAAUGCUUCCGCUUACGGUCUACGAGGGUAUGUAGGCAAUACUCUCCCCUCUCGUUGCUAUGCAUCACCAUGAUCUUGCGUGUGCGUAGGAAUUUUUUUGAAAUUACCACGUUCCCCAACAGUGGCAUCCGAGCCAGGUUUUAUGCAUUGAUGUUAUAUGCACGAGUAGAACACAGGUGAGUUGUGGGCGAUACAAGUCAUACUGCUUACCAGCAUAUCAUACUUUGGUUCGGCGGUAUUGUGAGAUGAAGCGGCCCGGACCGACAUUACGCGUACGCUUACGCGAGACUGGUUUCACCGUUGCGAGCACUCAUGCUUAAAGGUGGCUGGCGGGUGUCUGUCUCUCUCACUUUAGCUGAAUCAAGUGUGGCUACGCCCGGUCCUUGCGAAGGUUAAAACAGCACUAACUUGACGAACUAUCGUUGUGGUUUUGAUGCGUAGGUAAGAACGGUUCUUGCUAAGCCCGUAGCAGCCACGUAAAAUUUGCAACAACAAAGUAGAGGAUGUCUAACUUGUUUUUGCAGGGCAUGUUGUGACGUGAUAUGGUCAAGACGUGAUGCUAUAUUUUAUUGUAUGAGAUGAUCAUGUUUUGUAAUCGAAGUUAUCGGCAACUGGCAGGAGCCAUAUGGUUGUCGCUUUAUUGUAUGAAAUGCAAACGCCCUAUAAUUGCUUUACUUUAUCACUAAGCGGUAGCGAUAGUCGUAGAAGCAAUAGAUGGCGUAACGACAAUGAUGCUACGAUGGAGAUCAAGGUGUCGCGCCGGUGACGAUGGUGAUCACGACGGUGCUUCGAAGAUAGAGAUCACAAGCACAAGAUGAUGAUGUCCAUAUCAUAUCACUUAUAUUGAUUGCAUGUGAUGUUUAUCCUUUAUGCAUCUUAUCUUGCUUUGAUUGACGGUAGCAUUUUAAGAUGAUCUCUCACUAAUUAUCAAGAAGUGUUCUCCCUGAGUAUGCACCAUUGCGAAAGUUCUUCGUGCUGAGACACCACGUGAUGAUCGGGUGUGAUAGGCUCUACGUUCAAAUACAACGGGUGCAAAACAGUUGCACACGCGGAAUACUCGGGUUAAACUUGACGAGCCUAGCAUAUACAGAUAUGGCCUCGGAACACGGAGACCGAAAGGUCGAGCGUGAAUCAUAUAGUAGAUAUGAUCAACAUAAUGAUGUUCACCAUUGAAACUACUCCAUCUCACGUGAUGAUCGGACAUGGUUUAGUUGAUUUGGAUCACGUGAUCACUUAGAUGACUAGAGAGAUGUCUGUCUAAGUGGGAGUUCUUAAGUAAUAUGAUUAAUUGAACUUAAAUUUAUCAUGAACUUAGUCCUGGUAGUAUUUUGCAAAUUAUGUUGUAGAUCAAUAGCUUGCAUUGUUGCUUUAAUAUGUUUAUUUCGAUAUGUUCCUAGAGAAAAUUGUGUUGAAAGAUGUUAGUAGCAAUAAUGCGGAUUGGAUCCGUGAUCUGAGGUUUAUCCUCAUUGCUACACAGAAGAAUUAUGUCCUUAAUGCACCGCUAGGUGACAGACCUAUUGCAGGAGCAGAUGCAGACGUUAUGAAAGUUUGGCUAGCUCAAUAUGAUGACUACUUGGUAGUUUAGUGCACCAUGCUUAACGACUUAGAAUCGGGAGUUCAAAGACAUUUUUGAAUGUCAUGGACCAUAUGAGAUGUUCCAAGAGUUGAAGUUAAUAUUUCCAGCAAAUACCCGAAUUGAGAGAUAUGAAGUCUCCAACAAGUUCUAUAGCUAAAAGAUGGAGGAGAAUCGCUCAACUAGUGAGCAUGUGCUCAGAUUGUCUGGGUAAUUCAAUUGCUUGAAUCAAGUGGGAGUUAAUCUUCCAGAUAAGAUAGUGAUUGACAGAAUUCUCUAGUCACCAUCACCAAGUUAGUAGAACUUUGUGAUGAACUAUAGUAUGCAAGGGAUGACGAAAACGAUUCCCGAGCACUUCGUGAUGUUGAAAUCGACAAAGGUAGAAAUCAAGAAAGAGCAUCAAGUGUUGAUGGAUGACAAGAUCACUAGUUUCAAGAAAAGGGCAAAGGUAAAGAAAGGGGAACUUCAAGUAGAAUGACAAGAAAGUUGUCACUCCCACGAAGAAGCCCAAAGCUGAACCAAAGCCUGAAACUGAGUGCUUACACUGCAAAGGAAAUGGUCACUGGAAGCGGAAAUGCCCUGAAUAUUUGGUGGAUAAGAAGGAUGGCAAAGUAAACAAGGGUAUAUUUGAUAUACAGGUUAUUGAUGUGUGCCUUACUAGUGUUUAUAGUAGCCCCUGAUUAUUUGAUACUUGUUCGGUUGCUAAGAUUAGUAACUCGAGACAGGAGUUACAGAAUAAACAGAGACUAGUUGAAGGGGAAGUGACGAUGAGUGUUGGAAGUAGUUCCAAGAUUGAUAUGAUCACCAUCGCACACUCCUAUACUUUCGGGAUUAGUGUUAAACCUAAAUAAACGUUAUUUGGCGUUUGCAUUAAGCAUGAAUAUGAUUUGAUCAUGUUUAUUGCAAUACGGUUAUUCAUUUAAAGUCAGAGAAUAAUUGUUGUUCUAUUUAAAUGAAUAAAACCUUUGAUGGUCAUACACCCAAUGAAAAUAGUUUGUUGGAUCUCGAUCGUAGUGAUACACAUAUUCAUAAUAUUGAUACCAAAAGAUGCAAAGUUAAUAAUGAUAGUGCAACUUAUUUGUGGCACUGCCGUUUGGGUCAUAUCGGUGUAAAGCGCAUGAACAAACUCCAUAAAGAUGGAUUUUCGGAAUCACUUGGUUAUGAAUCAUUUGAUGCUUGCGAACCGUGCCUUUUGGGCAAGAUGACUAAAACUCCAUUCUCCGGAACAAUUGAACGAGCUACUGACUUACUGGAAAUAAUACAUACCGAUGUAUGCGAUCCGAUGAGUGUUAAGGCUCGUGGCAAGUAUCGUUAUUUUCUAACCUUCACAGAUGAUUUGAGCAGAUAUGGGUAUAUCUACUUGAUGAAACAUAAGUCUGAAAUAGUUGAAAGGUUCAAAGAAUUUCAGAGUGAAGUGGAAAAAUCAUCGUAACGAGAAAAUAAAGUUUCUGCGAUCUGAUCGCGGAGACGAAUAUUUGAGUUACGAGUUUGGUCUUCAAUUAAAACAAUGUGGAAUAGUUUCACAGCUAACGCCACCUGGAACACCACAAUGUUAUGGUGUGUCCGAACGUCGUAACCACACUUUAUUGAUAUGGUGCGAUAUAUGAUGUCUCUUACUGAUUUACCACUAUUGUUUUGGGGUUAUGCAUUAGAGACAGCUGCAUUCACGUUAAAAAGGGCACCAUCUAAAUCCGUUGAGACGACACCAUAUGAACUGUGGUUUAGCAAGAAACCCAAGUUGUCGUUUCUUAAAGUUUGGGGCUGUGAUGUUUAUGUGAAAAAGUUUCAUCCUGAUAAGCUCAAACCCAAAUCGGAGAAGUGUGUCUUCAUAGAAUACCCAAAGGAAACUGUUGGGUACACUUUCUAUCACAGAUCCGAAGGCAAGAUAUUCGUUGCUAAAAAUGGAUCCUUUCUAGAGAAGGAGUUUCUCUCGAAAGAAGUGAGUGGGAGGAAAGUAGAACUUGAUGAGAUAACUGUAUCUACUCCCUUGUUGGAAAGUAGUUCAUCACAAGAACCGGUUCCUGUGACAACUACACCAACUAGUGAGGAAGCUAAUGAUAUUGAUCAUGAAACUUCAGAUCAAGUUUCUACUGAACGUCGUAGGUCUACCAGAGUAAGAUCCGCACCAGAGUGGUACGGUAAUCCUAUUCUGGAAGUCAUGUUACUUGACCAUGAUGAACCUACGAACUAUGAGGAAGCGAUGAUGAGCCCAGAUUCCGCAAAAUGGCUAGAGGCCAUGAAAUCUGAGAUGGGAUCCAUGUACGAAAACAAAGUAUGGAUUUUGGUUGACUUGCCCGAUGAUCGGCAAGCCAUUGAGAAUAAAUGGAUCUUUAAGAACAAGACUGACGCUGAUGGUAAUAUAACUCUCUAUAAAGCUCGACUUGUUGCGAAAGGUUUUCGACAAGUUCAAGGGGUUGACUACGAUGAGACUUUCUCACCCGUAGCGAUGCUUAAGUCUGUCCGAAUCAUGUUAGCUAUUACUGCAUUUCAUGAUUAUGAAAUUUGGCAAAUGGAUGUCAAAACUGCAUUCUUGAAUGGAUUUCUGGAAGAAGAGUUGUAUAUGAUGCAACCAGAAGGUUUUGUUGAUCCAAAAGAUGCUAACAAAGUGUGCAAGCUCCAGUGAUCCAUUUAUGGACUGGUGCAAGCAUCUCGGAGUUGGAAUAAACGUUUUGAUAGUGUGAUCAAAGCAUAUGGUUUUAUACAGACUUUUGGAGAAGCCUGUAUUUACAAGAAAGUGAGUGGGAGCUCUGUAGCAUUUCUGAUUUUAUAUGUAGAUGGCAUAUUAUUAAUUGGAAAUGAUAUAGAAUUUCUGGAUAGCAUAAAGGGAUACUUGAAUAAAAAAAUUUCAAUGAAAGACCUCGGUGAAGCUGCUUACAUAUUGGGCAUCAAGAUCUAUAGAGAUAGAUCAAGACGCUUAAUAGGACUUUCACAAAGCACAUACCUUGACAAAAUUUUGAAAAAGUUCAAAAUGGAUCAGGCAAAGAAAGGUUUCUUGCCUGUGCUACAAGGUGUGAAGUUGAGUCAAACUCAAUGCCCGACCACAGCAGAAGAUAGAGAGAAAAUGAAAGAUGUUCCCUAUGCUUCAGCCAUAGGCUCUAUCAUGUAUGCAAUGUUGUGUACUAGACCUGACGUAUGCUUAGCAAUAAGCUUGGCAGGAAGGUACCAAAGUAAUCCAGGAGUGGAUCACUGGACAGCGGUCAAGAACAUCCUGAAAUACCUGAAAAGGACUAAGGAUAUGUUUCUCGUAUAUGGAGGUGACAAAGAGCUAGUCGUAAAUGGUUACGUUGAUGCAAGCUUUGACACUGAUCCGGACGAUUCUAAAUCGCAAACCGGAUACGUGUUUUUAUUAAACGGUGGAGCUGUAAGUUGGUGCAGUUCUAAACAAAGCGUCGUGGCGGGAUCUACAUGUGAAGUGGAGUACAUAGCUGCUUCUGAAGCAGCAAAUGAAGGAGUCUGGAUGAAGGAGUUCAUUACCGAUCUAGGUGUCAUACCUAGUGCAUCGGGACCAAUGAAGAUCUUCUGUGACAAUACUGGUGCAAUUGCUUUGGCAAAGGAAUCCAGAUUUCACAAGAGGACCAAGCACAUCAAGAGACGCUUCAAUUCCAUUCGGGACCAAGUCCAAGUGGGAUACAUAGAGAUUUGCAAAAUACAUACGGAUCUGAAUGUUGCAGACCCGUUGACUAAGCCUCUCUCACGAGCAAAACAUGAUCAACACCAAGACUCCAUGGGUGUUAGAAUCAUUACUAUGUAAUCUAGAUUAUUGACUCUAGUGCAAGUGGGAGACUGAAGGAAAUAUGCCCUAGAGGCAAUAAUAAAGUUAUUAUUUAUUUCCUCAUAUCAUGAUAAAUGUUUAUUAUUCAUGCUAGAAUUGUAUUAACCGGAAACAUGAUACAUGUGUGAAUACAUAGACAAACAUAUAGUCACUAGUAUGUCUCUACUUGACUAGCUCAUUAAUUAAAGAUGGUUAUGUUUCCUAACCAUAGACAUGUGUUGUCAUUUGAUUAAUGGGAUCACAUCAUUGGAAGAAUGAUGUGAUUGACAUGACCCAUUCCGUUAGCCUAGCACUUGAUCGUUUAGUAUACUGCUAUUGCUUUCUUCAUGACUUAUACAUGUUCCUGUAACUAUGAGAAAUAUGCAACUCCCGUUUACCGGAGGAACACUUUGGGUACUACCAAAUGUCACAACGUAACUGGGUGAUUAUAAAGGAGUACUACAGGUGUCUCCGAAGGUACAUGUUGAGUUGGCGUAUUUCGAGAUUAGGUUUUGUCACUCCGAUUGUCGGAGAGGUAUCUCUGGGCCCUCUUGGUAAUGCACAUCAUUAUAAGCCUUGCAAGCAAUGUGACCAAAUGAGUUAGUUACGGGAUGAUGCAUUACGGAACAAGUAAAGAGACUUGCCGGUAACGAGAUUGAACUAGGUGUUGGAUACCGACGAUCAAAUCUCGGGCAAGUAACAUACCGAUGACAAAGAGAACAACGUAUGUUGUUAUGCGGUUUGAUCGAUAAAGAUCUUCGUAGAAUAUGUAGGAACCAAUAUGGGCAUCCAGGUCCCGCUAUUGGUUAUUGACCGAGAAUGGUUCUAGGUCAUGUCUACAUAGUUCUCGAACCCGUAGGGUCCGCACGCUUAACGUUACGAUGACAGUUUUAUUAUGAGUUUAUAAGUUUUGAUGUACCGAAGUUUGUUCGGAGUCCCGGAUGUGAUCACGGACAUGACGAGGAGUCUCGAAAUGGUCGAGACAUAAAGAUUGAUAUAUUGGAAGCCUAUGUUUGGACAUCGGAAAGGUUCCGGGUGAAAUCGGGAUUUUACCGGAACACCGGGGGGUUACCGGAACCCUCUCGGGGUUAAUGGGCCUUAGUGGGCCAUGAGGGAGAAGAGGAGGGCCGGCCAGGGCAGGCCGCGCGCCCCCUCCCCCCUAGUCCGAAUAGGACAAGGAAGGGGGGGGGGCGGCGCCCCCCUUUCCUCUUUCCCCUCCCCCCUUUCCUUCUCCACCAAGGCAAGAGGGGGGAGUCCUACUCCCGGUGGGAGUAGGACUCCUCCAGGCGCACCCCAAGGGGGCCGGCCGCACCCCCCCUCCCUCCUUUAUAUACGGGGGCAGGGGGGCACCCCAUAACACACAAGUUAAUCUACGGAUCGUUCCUUAGCCGUGUGCGGUGCCCCCUCCACCAUAUUCCACCUCGGUCAUAUCGUCGCGGAGUUUAGGCGAAGCCCUGCGCCGGUAGAACAUCAUCAUCGUCACCACGCCGUCGUGCUGACGGAACUCAUCCCCGAAGCUUUGCUGGAUCGGAGCCCGGGGAUCGUCAUCGAGCUGAACGUGUGCUGAACUCGGAGGUGCCGUACGUUCGGUGCUUGGAUCGGUCGGAUCGUGAAGACGUACGACUACAUCAACCGCGUUGUUAUAAUGCUUCUGCUUACGGUCUACGAGGGUACGUAGACAAUACUCUCCCCUCUCGUUGCUAUGCAUCACCAUGAUCUUGCGUGUGCGUAGGAAAUUUUUUGAAAUUACUACGUUCCUCAACAGGUCGGAGUAGACGAAGUGGUCGGGGUAGAUGACGGCGACGCUGGCGACGGGCUGGUGCUUGGACGAAGACCGAAGGGGGUGGACGGGCGGCGCAGCGGCUAUGAAGGUAGCGGCGGCGGUGGCCAAAGAAGAGCAGCGACGGCGGCCUGGUGAAGGCGACGGCGGCUAGGUUAGGAGCGCGGCGGCGGUGCUCGAAGUAGGCGAAGAACCCUGACAGCGUGACGAAGACCGGCGUGGACGGUAGCGUUCCCGUGCCAAGGGAGACGGCGCGGCGCAUACCACGGGAGGUCGACGCGCGAUGACGGCGGAGUGGUUUGUGGGCCGUGGCGCUACGGCCUGAAGGGGCGACGCAGCGGCGGUAGGAGGGUCGGGGCGACGACGGGAAGACCUCGGGGUGGCGGCGGGGACCAUGGGCCGCAACGCUGCGGCCCGAAGGGGCGACGCAAGGGCGGUUCGCGGGUCGGUGCAGCCGCAGGGACGGCCUCGGGGCGGCGGCAGGGACUGCGUAUCGCGACACUAUGGCCCGAAGGGGCGACGCAACAGCGACACUCGGGUCGAUGCAGCCGCGAGGAGAACCACGGGGCGGCGGCGCUAUGGCCCGACGGGGCGACGCAGCGGCAGCCCAAUGUUCGAUCAGUGAAGAGGCGCGCUGAACUCAGGGAUGAUCUUCACGGGACCUGCGGAGGCACACGUAACCGACGGGCCAGGUCGGUCACGCCGCGUAGAUGAGGCGGAUCGCCGCGGCGCGCGGGUGAUCAAGACGAUCGCGUGCGAGGUCGAGGACGCCGCUCGGUGGAGGCGUGGUGGCGGCGGAGUCCGAUAUGAAGUCGGCGACGACGGACGGCGUGAGACGUCAUGCGGACAAGCUUGUCAGCACCGGCACCCGGGCUGCCAAAGCAACACCGACGCCCCGGCAGCGAGGCCCGAGUGACCAACGGAGCAGCCCGAGUUGAGGCAGCCAACAAGCCUGACGCAGUUGUCCCGACGCAGCUAAGGACGAGGCCGGCGAGGUAGACCGCCGGGCCGCCGUGCAGAUGCGGCGGAGGCGGGUGAUGUGGAUCAAUGGGCGGGCCGGCACGCGAGCGACGACUAUGAUUGGCCGUCGCAUGGCGCGUGGCCACCGGGUCGGGGCGAUGCAGGUGUCCCGGUCGGAGCAGGACGGUGACGGCCGACGCAUGGCGACGGGCGACCGACGCGCGGACGACGGCUUGCCCUGACGGGCCGCCUCGGCGCGUGUGGCUGUCGGGUCGGAGGAGAGGUCGGCUGGUCGCGUCGGGGUCGAAGUAGAGGCGCUCGGUGUCGACGGCGACGGCGGGCGACGCAAACCGAUCAAGAUUAGAUUGGAAAACAAAAAAAACCGCCGAUCGAGAUGACCGGCGGGAGAGAGAAAACCCCGGAGCAAGGGCUCGGGGAAAAGACUCUCUAGGGCAGCCGGUCAACACGACCGGCGGGCGGACCCUAGGUACGGGCAGCGCGGCCCCCGGCGGCGGUCAUGAAGACCAACCGUCCCGAGGGCGGCGCGCGGGUGCGGAAGCGGCGGCGGCUGGGGUUUAGGACCGAUUAGUUUGAUACCAUGUUAGAAGGAGAAAGAUGAUUGGUGAAAUAAUCGUUGUAUUGCUUGAGCCUCGUAGGCAUAUAUAUAGAAGUACAUGAUCUACUUGGAAUACAAAUCAAGCCAGAAUAUUUCCUAGUCUAACUUAUGUUUUCUAAUACAAUCACGUUACUCAACACUCCUGGCCAGCAACGUGUGUGCCCGCUUUGGGCCAGCAGCUUGCGUGCGUGCUGCCGGUAGCAGCGUGUGUACGUGCGGCAGACGGAGGCAGUGGCUGCGAGGCCGGCGGCGGAUGGUAUGGCGCGAAAGUGUUGGGGUCGGGCAAGUCAGAGAUAAGGCUGGUCACAGUGGGGAGGAACUUAAGAGUAACAUCACACACUCCAAUACAACUUUGCUUAUGUGGCACGUAUUUAAUGAAGAAAGAGGUGUUUGUGGUAACUAGCUAAGUUACCGGAACAUCACACACUCCAAGAAACAAUGAGUCUAUAACCUAAUAAAUACAUCAUUGCAUGACACUACAUAGAUGUUCCUACCCACUAUGGAGGUAGUAACAUAGUCUAGGAAAGUGUGAAGUUACUAGCUUAUGUUCUUGCCCAUUGUGACCAGCCUAAAGAAAACGAGCCACUUUUUUUCACUCCUCCCAACCAACAAUGACUGCUGAUGUGGUGCUGCCCUGUCAGCAUUGACUAUGGUCAAAACUGCUUGACCAACUCAAAACCGAGAGCAGGUUUGAGUUUUGAACUCAUGUGUGAUUCGGGGUGUAUUUCGACCGGUUUUAAAGAUCAGGGUUAUAAAUUAAACCAAAUGGUUAGUUCAGGGUUGAAAUGUUAACUUUUCUAUUUAAGUAAUAUACUCGGAAGAAGAAGAAAAGGAUCCAGCCACAAACGGAACGGAACAGCUCGUUUCGCCCCCAUCGGCCGUACUAACCCAGAUGCAGCAGAGUACCGGAAAAUGCUGUUGUACUAACCCAGAUGCAGCAGAGUACCAGAAAAUGCUUUUGCAGCGGCAAUGAGAUACUACAUCACACAAAAUUUAACUCAACAGCAAAACGCUUCCGAUUAUUACAACAAGCAGGUACUAGUAUGUACAAGCAUCGACAUAAAAACACUCUCCACCCGGAAAAACUGCAACUUACAACAAGCGGCCCUACAAAGGUGCAUGACGAACACCAUAUCUCAAAGCACAGCAAAAAAGGAAACAGCUCUUCCUACAUUCCGAAAACGACUCCGCAGCCGACGAACACCACUCAGGAACAGGCUACAUACAGUUAGCAAGUCCUCCAUCACAGCGACGCUACUACCAGCAAGCUUAAAUAUACGUCCCUCUACGGAACCUACUCCUAUGCAGUUAGCGGUUGGAGGUCGCCCUCAGUCUUCUCAUGGCUCAGCGCGAGCAUACCUGACAAGUCCCAAG
rnacentral:lncRNA from 1 species